UACAAGGGGUGCUAGCGUUAUUCGGAUUCAUUGGGCGUAAAGGGUACGUAGACGGCGUGCUAAGUUAGUUGUUAAAUCUCUCGGCCUAACCGAGAUCAAGCGAUUAAUACUGGCAUGCUAGAGGGUGAGAGAGAGGAGUGGAAUUCUCGGAGUAGCGGUAAAAUGCGUAGAUAUCGAGAGGAACACCGAUGGCGAAGGCAGCUCCUUGGCUCAUUCCUGACGUUGAGGUACGAAAGCGUGGGUAGCAAACAGG
rnacentral:sRNA from 1 species